AUUGAACGCUGGCGGCAGGCUUAACACAUGCAAGUCGAGCGAGCGGCGGACGGGUGAGUAAUGUCUGGGAAACUGCCUGAUAGAGGGGGAUAACUACUGGAAAAGGUAGCUAAUACCGCAUACCAUCGGAUGAGCCCAGAUGGGCUUAGCUAGGAGGUGGGGUAAAGGCGCACCUAGGCGGCGAUCACUAGCUGGUCUGCGAGGAUGCGCAGCCACACGGGAACUGAGACACGGUCCAGACUACUAAGGGAGGAAGAAGUGGGGAAUACGGCAAAAUGGGCGAAAGUCUGAUGCAGCCAUGCGGCGUGGGUGAAGAAGGCCUUGGGGUUGUAAAGCACUUUCAGCGGGGAGGCGUUACCCGCAGAAGAAGCAUCGGCUAACUCCAUGCCAGCAGGCGCGGUAAUUC
rnacentral:rRNA from 1 species